AGAGUUUGAUCAUGGCUCAGAAUCAACGCUGGCGGCGCGCCUAACACAUGCAAGUCGGACGAGAAAGUGGAGCAAUCCAUGAGUACAGUGGCGUACGGGUGAGUAACACGUGGGUAAUCUACCUCUUAGUGGGGAAUAUCUCUGGGAAACCGGAGUUAAUACCGCAUAAGCUCGAGAGAGGAAAGCAGCAAUGCGCUGAGAGAGGAGCCCGCGGCCGAUUAGCUAGUUGGUGAGGUAAAGGCUCACCAAGGCAAAGAUCGGUAGCCGGCCUGAGAGGGCACACGGCCACACUGGCACUGAAACACGGGCCAGACUCCUACGGGAGGCAGCAGUGGGGAAUCUUGCACAAUGGGGGAAACCCUGAUGCAGCGACGCCGCGUGAGCGAUGAAGCCCUUCGGGGUGUAAAGCUCUUUCGACGGGAACGAUAAUGACGGUACCCGGAGAAGAAGCUGCGGCUAACUACGUGCCAGCAGCCGCGGUAAUUC
rnacentral:rRNA from 1 species